CUAGGGGAACUUCCACAGGGGGCGUGGCCAAAAAAAGAAAAAGAACGCCUGUCCUCGGUUAUGAGGCCUGCCGUCGUCACCUCUGGCUCAUAGGCCCGUUCUGCUGCAGAGUCCGAUCAUCGCUUCGUUGUCCAAGGUGAGGUUACCUCUUCUUUGGCAGCCUCAAGGGUUUCCCUUAGGGUUUCUACGCGCUCACCCAUGCUCCUACAUAUAUUUAUGACACCCUCUCAACAUUUCCAGCUGUCAUUCAGUGGUAAGGUUUUCACACUUCUCUGUUUCACAAUGACUCUAGAAGAGAGUCUCCACCCCUAUAUAAAUGUCUGCAAAACUGCACCUCCAAUAGCUCCAUUGUAGUUGUUGUACUGAAGCUGAAAGGAACCAGGCCUGGAUCCACCAGAAUUCAGUGUACAAGACAAAGGCUACCGGCUUGCAGUUGUUACCAAAACAAGAACAACGUUUGUGUUCAGUGUGAAGACUUGAAGAACGAGCAGAAAGUUGUCGUCCCCGAUGUCUUUUGAAAACCGCAUCCUGACUUAGGAGGACCGUGCCCUUUGCUUCAGACCUGGAGCAGCGGAUCCUGUGUACCAGUAAGAUGCAGGGGAGGGAGAGACCAAAGCAGAAAAGAGAUUGUUUCAGAAAUCUUUACUUUGGGGUUCUGUUUCUAUGUAAGUAAAAGACUUUGAUAUUCCACCUCCUUUUUCUCCCCAUCUGGAGUUUUGUGAGAAGCAGGAGAAUGGAGGACGGAGGUGGAGAAACUCCAUCACAAGCUUCGUAGCUAAUGAUGCCUGAUGAUUCAAGGAUACUGUAUCUAAGAGGAUACUGUUGUGUUUUUCUUAGACUGAGAUGUGCCUGUUGGUGUCCUCGCCAUGACACAGUCAAAGAAUCCAUAUCCAGAGUUGAGCCAGUUGGUCAUGUUGCCCUGACCAUGAAGUUGUCCAAAGGGUUAUGGAUGUUCCCAGGCUAGAGGUCAGCAGCUCAGGAUCUGAGCC